GUUUGAAACGCACGUUGCCGUCACUGGUGGGAGUAAGACGCUAGCUGCACCUUGUCAGGAGUUUCAUGCCGGAACUUCACGUUAGGCAUUGCCCUGUUUGACUAUAGUAUUGCAAGAGGUCUCCCCUGGCUACUGGGGUUAACAAGGGACGCCAAGCUGACGUGGGUCCCUCCUCCCCAUGUCCACCUGGGUCCUUCCUUUGGUAUGACCGUCAAGGCCAAGAUCACAGCAGCAAUUGACACACAGUUGAUAGUCUGGCCACUGUUUUCCUCCUGUUUAUUUCUUUGAUGUAGUUCUGUGUGUAUUGACUGACCUAGUUGAAGCCACG